GGCCCUUGUCCAUGGAGGAAUCAAGCCCUUAUUUUUUUCCCGGCGAUUAUACCACAGCAUAGCCAGUCGUCCAACACCCCCAGACACUCUUGAAGAAGUGGAUGACAGAGAACUGCAGGAGCAACUGCAAAGGGUAAUAACUGCAGAAACUCUGGCAGAAGCACGGGAUGCCAUAAUGGAGGCUUCAGGUUCUCUUUGUCUUCUUGGCUGUUCUGCGGGUCUCCGAAGUCUGGAUGAAAAGGAGUACUUUACACAACAAGCUCUAAGGGCAUAUGUCGAAGGAAGGACACAGAAAGCUUUGGAGCAGUAAACAAAAAC